ACGUAGUGUAGAGAUUGUCCAGUCAACUGAUGGUAGCGAGGUUCACUGUCCAGUGACACACGUACGCUGGUAUCGUCAUGAGCUAAUGUCGACAUGUAAACAGUGACUCGUGUAGUGUAGAGAUUGUCCAGUCAACUGAUGGUAGCGAGGUUCACUGUCCAGUGACACACGUACGCUGGUAUCGUCAUGAGCUAAUGUCGACAUGUAAACAGUGACUCGUGUAGUGUAGAGAUUGUCCAGUCAACUGAUGGUAGCGAGGUUCACUGUCCAGUGACACACGUACGCUGGUAUCGUCAUGAGCUAAUGUCGACAUGUAAACAGUGACUCGUGUAGUGUAGAGAUUGUCCAGUCAACUGAUGGUAGCGAGGUUCACUGUCCAGUGACACACGUACGCUGGUAUCGUCAUGAGCUAAUGUCGACAUGUAAACAGUGGUUUUUGCACUCGUGUAGUGUAGAGAUUGUCCAGUCAACUGAUGGUAGCGAGGUUCACUGUCCAGUGACACACGUACGCUGGUAUCGUCAUGAGCUAAUGUCGACAUGUAAACA